GUUAGCGUCUCCUGUCCCAAGCCCGGGAGGUGCUUUAGUUUUCUACGUCUCCCAGCACUCGAGCGUCUCGGGAUUAUGACAAGCAGUCCAUUGUACCGGAGCAGAGAGGAACACACCCGGGACUAGCAAGUCUCUGAAGAGAAGCCAAUGGAAAGGAUGCAGAAGAAAACUGGGGGAAUAAUCUUUGGCUCAGAAUGUCCUGCAGACCAACUAACUGCAUGGGGGAUGUGCAGCCAGCAGCAGGAUGACAAGGUGGUGCCUGGGGCGAUUUGCAGGUCUCUGAGCAACAGGAGGGGAAACUGAUGCAGUGGCACAGAUGUUACUUGGGAUGCCACUUAUUUACCACCAUGUGGACACGCCCAAUGAGGCUCUUUGCUGGUUCCUUGCCAAUUCCUGUCUCCUAAGCCUCAUCUCCAUCAAUUGAUAAGCCUAGAAAUCCUGCGCACAAUCAAAGGCACCUGUAUCUGCGUCCCUGCCUGCUUCUACGGGAGGAGCCUGCGGUGGCUCCUCAGUGCCUCGGAGGUGCAUCUGACAUGCUCACCCUGCCAGUCUUCUGGGCUCACCUCUUCUAGUGGCUUCCUGUACCACAGCUGUGCUCCUUCUGACCAGCUGUGCCUGCUUCCUCCUGCUGGAGCAGCCUUUCCUUUCCUACAAGUCAGUUCCUUCUCCUGCUUUCCAAGGUCCCACUCCUACCUCCCUUUUUACAGUGGCCUGUUGGGACCCUGGCCUCCACUGUGUGAGAACCCUGCCACAGUCGGGGUCUCCCUCCAUAGCCUCCUCCUGGAUGCAGUGCACUGGAAUCCAGCCUUCACUAGCAAUGUGGCAUCAUAGGCUAGCCCAGCCUCAGUGUACAGGAGAGAUCUGAGGGCCACAGAGGUGAGGUCACUUGCCCAAGCACAGAUUACCAAUUUCUCUCAGAAAACCUAGGGAGAGAGCUGUCAGCAAAGUGCUUGCCACACAAGCUUGAGGACCCGAGUUCAGCCCCACAACACACGCCAAGUUCCUCCAGACCUGCAGGUCUCUCCGACCCUCCAGACCUGAAGGCUUCUCCUGCCACAUGAAAAACCUUAUGGGCAGAAGGGAGGAGAAUUUCUAGUAUGUUUCCGAAAUUUUUGUUUUGUUUUUCAAGACAAGGUUUCUCUGUGUGUAGCCCUGGAACUCUUUGUUUUGUAGAACGAGGCUGGCCUUCAUCUGCCUCUGCCUCCCAAGCGCUGGGAUUAAAGAGUGUACAACCACA